rnacentral:rRNA from 1 species
CAGCAGCAGCCACGGUAAUACGGAGGGUGCAAGCGUUAAUCGGAAUUACUGGGCGUAAAGCGCACGCAGGCGGUUUGUUAAGUCAGAUGUGAAAUCCCCGAGCUUAACUUGGGAACUGCAUUUGAAACUGGCAAGCUAGAGUCUUGUAGAGGGGGGUAGAAUUCCAGGUGUAGCGGUGAAAUGCGUAGAGAUCUGGAGGAAUACCGGUGGCGAAGGCGGCCCCCUGGACAAAGACUGACGCUCAGGUGCGAAAGCGUGGGGAGCAAACAGGAUUAGAUACCCGAGUAGUCCCUGUCUCUUAUAC